GUAUCAAGGACUAUUAUACUACAUACUAUUAAUGGUCAUUGUCCAUAGAGUUGUCUAGGAUAACAUCACGCACACACGAGUCAAAGGUACAUAAACAAAUAUCAAGUUAACCCCUCCUCUCAGGGAGCAUGUAGAGUACGCAAAUAUUUGUCAACUAACAAUUCCAAUACAACUCACAGAUUUACUAACUGACUUUACGUUUUGCAUGUUUUAGGCAAAACCCAUUUUGAUGUGAAUGCCCCCUACAAUACACAUCAACCAAGGAAGGUCGGACAAUUACCCUCCUGUUUUCCCAAUCCUUGAGGUGGGACAGAGGGUAAUUAAAGAAACCUGAAGGGGUACAUUGCCCUAUGUACCGCUCUUCCCAUCUCCCAUAGCAUCUGAUAUUUAGCAAUUGUUUCCUGUUUAAAACCAUGAUAUCAGAAAGAAUAAAAAUGUGCAAGGUCA